UCUAGAAUCUUCCCAGUUAUUGAUGUCAGGCUGACUGCAGAAGUAAUUUUGGGUCCCCCUUUUUCAGCUUCAGAAGAUGGGGACAACAUUCUCUUUCCUCCAGUCUGCUAGAACUUCUGUUCUCCAGGAUAUCUGACAGCCCAUUUGGCUCGAGCUUUUCAAUGAAUAUCUCAUAGAGUUCGAACCAUUUCAACACAGUUUGUGGCAACCACAAAAAUGACAUUUCUGGAGUAUAAUAACUACUUUCAAAAUAUGUUAGACUAUGAUUCCCAUAAUCCUACUAUUCAACAAAUCUGGAGGGCAUCAGGUUGUGGAAGAAGGGUCAACAAGAUGCAACAGAAAUUCACAGCUGCUGUAAAAUGUAAGAUAUGCUGCUGACAUGACAGACACAGGGCUCCAGACCCCAAACUUCACUCCAACAACUGAAGUGGUGGCAUAAAGCCCCCCCCCCCCCACAAAAAAAAAUGCAAGGGAAGGAGAAGUAGAAGUGGGCAGGAUGUAAGUGUGAGAAAUAAAUAAAUAAAUAAUAAAUAAGUGGCUGACAGAUUGCAAAGAUGUAUAAGUUGCCUUUUAUAAUAAGUUGUUGCAUGGUAAUGUACAACUAUUUUUAAAAUCUUGAAAUAAACAGUAAAAUUAAUGCUAGUAAACAAUAAUAAA